GACAGCCGCCGGAGUUCCGCGAUGUACUCCGAUGUGGACUCAUUCUUUAGUUGAUUUCGUUUAUGAAAUCGGAAACGUUCGGCUAUAACCAGUGGCUUCGGUUGGAAAUGUUUUUGGAGCACUUCUGUGAUCUCCUUGAAACUUUUGUCAGCUGGUUUGAUCGGUGUGAUGAGGCUGCGCAACAAGAUUUCCCCCUCUCUGUCGUCCAAUGCACAUCGGGGAUCCGUUUUAAUCCUCGUCGCCAGUCUAUUAUGUUCUCUUAUAACUUAACUGAUGCAUAUCCCAGUUCAGCCCAAACUUUAGCUGUCAGCCUCACGUUUGACUACAGUCAUGGUGCCCAGGUCCUAUUGCUACAAAUCAUUCCUAAAUCAUGAUCCCGCCUCACUGUGUUUCAUGGCAUCCAUCUCUGCAUCUCGGCCUUGCCUUCUGUUCUCCAUGCUGUGGAACAUGGCGCUCCCUCUGGCUGCAGGCGUUUUCACAUGGUGGCAAAAAUUGUCAAUUGUGGAGUUUUUAAAAAAAGGGAAAAAAAGCUGAGGACAGAAAUUGUUUAGGAUGUGGUCUAAAAUGCCGCAAUUCAGACGUGUGUAAGGAGUGUGUGUGUAAACAUGUCUAGUUUUGAUCUUGUUUGAAAGGUGUGGAUUAUUUAUAUAUACGUCUUUGCAUAUUACUUUGGAAGAAAUAGCAGUUUUAUCUUUCCUUUUUUUUGCACUAUAUUUAAAUAGUUUAACAGUUGCUACACUAAUUGGCAAUUACUGGACCUACUGCAAGCAGGGUUCCCAUAGUAAAGUUUUUCCAUUUUAAAAGCUGGAAGUGGCAGUAAUUUUGUUUGGUUGAGUGCGUAUUUUUGUUUUUAUCAUCUGUCUACCUGCUGAUUAUCCUAUUAACAGAGCUUGCCACCUGCUAAAGUUGGACAUAAUCAGCAGUAGAACCACAUGAAAAGUUGCC
ensembl:lncRNA